rnacentral:rRNA from 1 species
GACGAACGCUGGCGGCGUGCUUAACACAUGCAAGUCGAACGGAAAGGCCCUGCUUUUGUGGGGUGCUCGAGUGGCGAACGGGUGAGUAACACGUGAGUAACCUGCCCUUGACUUUGGGAUAACUUCAGGAAACUGGGGCUAAUACCGGAUAGGAGCUCCUGCUGCAUGGUGGGGGUUGGAAAGUUUCGGCGGUUGGGGAUGGACUCGCGGCUUAUCAGCUUGUUGGUGGGGUAGUGGCUUACCAAGGCUUUGACGGGUAGCCGGCCUGAGAGGGUGACCGGCCACAUUGGGACUGAGAUACGGCCCAGACUCCUACGGGAGGCAGCAGUGGGGAAUAUUGCACAAUGGGCGGAAGCCUGAUGCAACAACGCCGCGUGCGGGAUGACGGCCUUCGGGUUGUAAACCGCUUUCGCCUGUGACGAAGCGUGAGUGACGGUAAUGGGUAAAGAAGCACCGGCUAACUACGUGCCAGCAGCCGCGGUGAUACGUAGGGUGCGAGCGUUGUCCGGAUUUAUUGGGCGUAAAGGGCUCGUAGGUGGUUGAUCGCGUCGGAAGUGUAAUCUUGGGGCUUAACCCUGAGCGUGCUUUCGAUACGGGUUGACUUGAGGAAGGUAGGGGAGAAUGGAAUUCCUGGUGGAGCGGUGGAAUGCGCAGAUAUCAGGAGGAACACCAGUGGCGAAGGCGGUUCUCUGGGCCUUUCCUGACGCUGAGGAGCGAAAGCGUGGGGAGCGAACAGGCUUAGAUACCCUGGUAGUCCACGCUGUAAACGGUGGGUACUAGGUGUGGGGUCCAUUCCACGGGUUCCGUGCCGUAGCUAACGCUUUAAGUACCCCGCCUGGGGAGUACGGCCGCAAGGCUAAAACUCAAAGGAAUUGACGGGGCCCCGCACAAGCGGCGGAGCAUGCGGAUUAAUUCGAUGCAACGCGUAGAACCUUACCUGGGUUUGACAUGGAUCGGGAGUGCUCAGAGAUGGGUGUGCCUCUUUUGGGGUCGGUUCACAGAUGGUGCAUGCCUGUCGUCAGCUCGUGUCGUGAGAUGUUGGGUUAAGUCCCGCAACGAGCGCAACCCUUGUUCACUGUUGCCAGCACGUUAUGGUGGGGACUCAGUGGAGACCGCCGGGGUCAACUCGGAGGAAGGUGGGGAUGACGUCAAGUCCUCAUGCCCCUUAUGUCCAGGGCUUCACGCAUGCUACAAUGGCUGGUACAGAGAGUGGCGAGCCUGUGAGGGUGAGCGAAUCUCGGAAAGCCGGUCUCAGUUCGGAUUGGGGUCUGCAACUCGACCUCAUGAAGUCGGAGUCGCUAGUAAUCGCAAAUCAGCAACGCUGCGGUGAAUACGUUCCCGGG